rnacentral:rRNA from 1 species
AGAGUUUGAUCAUGGCUCAGAACGAACGCUGGCGACGUGGAUUAGGCAUGCAAGUCGAACGGGAUUCUUAAGUUUCAAUCUUUCGGGAGAGAAACUUUUGAUGAGAGUGGCGAACGGGUGAGGAACACGUGGGUAAGCUACCUUUAAGCUGGGGAUAGCCCUCCGAAAGGAGGGGUAACACCGAAUGUGGUAUUCCAACGCAUGUUGGAUGAUCUAAAGAUGGGGAUCUUCGGACCUAUCACUUAAAGAUGUGCCCGCGUACUAUCAGCUUGUUGGUGAGGUAACGGCUCACCAAGGCUCUGACGGUUAGCUGGUCUGAGAGGAUGGUCAGCCACACUGGGACUGAGACACUGCCCAGACUCCUACGGGAGGCUGCAGUCGAGAAUCAUUCGCAAUGCACGAAAGUGUGACGAUGCGACGUCGCGUGGAGGAUGAAGGCCCUCGGGUCGUAAACUCCUGUCAGAAGGGAACAAUAGCUUCACGCUUAAUACGCGUGGAGUGUGAUGGUACCUUCAGAGGAAGCCACGGCUAACUCUGUGCCAGCAGCCGCGGUAAUACAGAGGUGGCAAGCGUUGUUCGGGUUUACUGGGCGUAAAGGGUGUGUAGGCGGCUUUGUGUGUCGAAUGUGAAAGCCCACGGCUCAACCGUGGAAAUGCAUCCGAAACUACAAAGCUAGAGUACUGGAGAGGAGAGCGGAAUUCUCGGUGUAGCGGUGAAAUGCGUUGAUAUCGAGAAGAACACCGGUGGCGAAGGCGGCUCUCUGGACAGAUACUGACGCUGAGACACGAAAGCUGGGGGAGCGAACAGGAUUAGAUACCCUGGUAGUCCCAGCCGUAAACGUUGUGUACUUGGUGUGGGGGGAGUUGUCCCUUCCGUGCCGUAGCUAACGCGUUAAGUACACCGCCUGGGGAGUACGGCCGCAAGGCUAAAACUCAAAGGAAUUGACGGGGGCCCGCACAAGCGGUGGAGCAUGUGGCUUAAUUCGAUGCAACGCGAAGAACCUUACCAGGGCUUGACAUGUAACUGCAAAUCUCCAGAAACGGAGACUCCUUCGAGGGUGUUACACAGGUGCUGCAUGGCUGUCGUCAGCUCGUGCCGUGAGGUGUUGGGUUAAGUCCCGCAACGAGCGCAACCCUUGUGAUUAGUUGCUAACAGGAGCGAAAGCUUGCUGAGAACUCUAAUCAGACUGCCGGUGACAAGCCGGAGGAAGGUGGGGAUGACGUCAAGUCAGUAUGGUCCUUACGCCCUGGGCUGCACACGUGCUACAAUGGUCGGUAUAGAGGGAUGCAAAGCCGCGAGGUGGAGCAAAUCCAUAAAACCGGCCUCAGUUCGGAUCGAAGUCUGAAACUCGACUUCGUGAAGUUGGAAUCGCUAGUAAAGGCGUAUCAGCUACGACGCCUUGAAUACGUUCCCGGGCCUUGUACACACCGCCCGUCACAUCACGAAAGCCGAUUGCACCCGAAGUCGCUGAGUUAACCCCUUUGGGGAUACAGGUGCCGAAGGUGUGAUUGGUGAUUGGGAUGAAGUCGUAACAAGGUA